rnacentral:rRNA from 1 species
UUCUAGAAAAUUAAAAAAAAUGGCGGUAUUUUAGUCUAUUCAGAGGAACCUGUCCUGUAAUUGAUAGUCCACGUUUAAAGGUACUUAUUUUUUUAAUUUGCAUAUCGCUGUGAGACGAAUAUUUUUUUAGAAAAAAAUAUUCAAAAUAUUUAGUUAAAAGUAAAUCAGGUCAAGAUGCAGUUUAUAAAUAAGGAGAGAUGGGUUACAAUAAAUAUAUUUAUAUGAAUAAGUUUUUUAAAAUAGUUUUGAAGGUGGAUUUGAAGGUAAUUUUAAGAAUAUUCUUAGAAUGAUUUAGGCUCUAAAAUAUGUACAUAUUGCCCGUCGCUUUCAUUUUAAAAUGAAAUAAGUCGUAACAUAGUAGAUGUACUGGAAAGUGUAUCUAGAAAGUCAAAUUAGAGCUUGAGGAGUAUUUUAGUUACAUUAAAAAGGUUAUUAAUAAUUAAUAUAAUUUGAGAUAAAUAAAUUAUUUAAUGAUUAAUUAAUUAUAAAUUAAUAUUGAAAAUUAAAAAAAAUAAUUUAUUAUUUUAUUAUUUUGUACAAAUAAAUGUGUAUAUGGUUUAAGUAAUUAUAGGGUAUUAGUAUUGUGAAAGAAAUUUUUUUAUUGUGUAAAAGAAAAAUUUAUUUUUUGUACCUGGGUAUCAGGGGANNNNNNNNNNNNNNNNNNNNNNNNNNAGUUAUAAGUAUAUAAUUUUUAUUGUAGAAUAAUUAUUAUAAAUAUAUUUAUAGAAGUGAAAUGCUAUUCGAUUUUAAAUAUAUCUAGUUUUUUAAGAAAAAAAUUUAAAUUUAUUUUUAUUUAAUUAUAGAUUUAAAUGUUUAAUUUUAUAAUAGUAAAAUUUUAUAUUUUAGGGGAUGAGCUUUAAAAUAAAGAGAUAUAAUUUAUAUAAAAAUAUAAAUAUUAAGUAGAAUUAUAAGUUUUUAUCUUUAUUAGUGUUUUAUAACUAUAUAUAUAUAUAUGUGUAUAUUAAAUUUAUAGUAUGGAUUUAUAUAUUUUAUUAAAAUAUAAUAUUUAAUAAGAAAAUAUUAGUAAAAAUGAUGGAAUUAGUAUAAGUUAAUAGGUAGAGAGUUUAAAUUUUUGAAAGGUAAAAUAAAGGAAUUCGGCAAAUUUAUUUUUCACCUGUUUAUUAAAAACAUGGCUUAUUGAUAUUGAUUUUAAGUCUAACCUGCCCAAUGAUGGAUAAUUAAAUGGCCGCAGUAUAUUGACUGUGCAAAGGUAGCAUAAUCAUUAGUUUUUUAAUUGAAAGCUUGUAUGAAAGGUUUGAUGAAAAAAUAACUGUCUCUGUUUUAAUUUUUUAAAAAUUUAUUUUUAAGUUAAAAAGCUUAAAUAAAUAUAGAAGACGAGAAGACCCUAUAGAGUUUUAUAUCUAAAAUUAUAAUUAAUGUUUUGGUAUUUUA